rnacentral:sRNA from 1 species
UAAUAUCUUUGUGUGUACUUCACACUACUCUUAUAUAGCUAUUCUUGUAGCCCCUCUCUUACAAUUCUAAUUAGCUUACUCAUAAACCUUAUCUAAGUGGUCUGUUGUUACAACAUGCUCUACAACAAGAUUCACAAUGUUAGUUAGAUUAUACAAAAUGAUUUUCAUAUGUACUGUACUGAACAUACAAGAUCUCUCUAGAAUCAAUCUGAAUCCUCUACGGAGUACUAUCUCUGAUAAUUACAAUGCUUGAUUGCAACAGUUGAAUGGCCCGGUGGCGUAGUGGUUAACUACUCACCUGGUAUCCCAGAGAAGGGGUGCGGGUUCGAAUCCCACAGGGCACAUUUUAACCAAUAUCCACUGUUAAAUCACCAAACAGUACCGGGUGUAACCGGCCCCUUGGGCUGGCUAUAUAAGUUAGAUCAGUACUGAAUCAUUGUCAAGCUUAACUAUCUAUCUAGACAUCUCUAAAUUUGUCUGUGACAGUUAAUUGAUAGACUACAGCU